rnacentral:lncRNA from 1 species
GCAAAACAUAAGCUGCUGCGCUCCUCUUCUUGUUUCAAGAAAUUCAUUUAGUGAACAGUGAGUACCUGCUAUGUGCCAGAUGCUGUUCUAAUGCUUGGGAUGUGUUGGGGAGUAAAAGAAAGAUCACCCUGCCCUGAUCCAACGGACGUUCUUGAGGACUAGGCUGGAGACAGAAGGGAAGUCAUGAACGUCAAUAAGUAAAUUAUCUGGAAUUUUAGAAGAUGUUAUAACAGAGACUUAGGCUGCUUUUGCUAAAAGCACUCUCUUCAUUUAGGCCUAUAGAUGCCCAAUGGCUAACUGAAGGCAGGAUAAAGCCUGAAAUCUCCGCCUUCAUUUUGUGUCUGUCUCCUUUUUAUUACCUUAAAGUUUGUGACCCGCUCAGCUCAUCAGAUAGACAUGUUGAUACUUAAGGGGUGUAAUGCAAGAUCAUUUAGCACUUAAAUUACCUAACCUAGCUCAUCCACCUUCAAAACUGAGGGCAUAUAGAUCAGAGUAACUAAGAUAUGUUGAAGAUAUGUGAAGACAUUCAAUUGCCAGACCCCUGGAGUGACAACUAAAAGUCUUCAGUCAUUGCCUUAUGUCUGCAGUCACCUUUGAUUCUAGGAACAGCAGAGCCUCACAGAUCACCCCAUGAUAAGAUCACCCUCUGAAUGGGGGACAAUUACCCCAUGACAGGAACUGAGGCUUCCCUCCUAAGGGCAGGAGCAGUCAUCUCAUGGGAAACAGGUUGCCCUCUCAAGUAAUACAAAAUUCUCCAGGGCCACCUCAUAGAACCAGUCCUGAGAUAAUGAUUAACCAGAUCAUGGUCUAACCAGCAUGACUUACUCUACCAGCUGUGCAAACUCCCAACCAUAUAAACCCCCAACCCAUCUUUAUUCCAAUUUUCCAAACAACCUCUGAGUUUCUGUCAGUUCUUUAAAGAUAGAUCUUUGAUCAUUGUACCCCUAUAUCUGUUCUUUCCCAGCAUGGCCAUGACUCAAGCACCUUUUUUGUCUUUCUAAUUGGCACAUAGACAUGAGUGACCACCAAAAAUAUAUUUCAGCAUAACUUAAGAGGGGCAAUUCAGAAGAGCUCAAAUUUCUC